rnacentral:rRNA from 1 species
GAUGAACGCUGGCGGCGUGCUUAAUACAUGCAAGUCGAGCGAACAGACGCGGCUCUUGCUGCUUUCUCGUUUGCCGCGCAGGGGAGUGUAACAUGUGGAUCCUCCCCUUAUCAUUGUGGGAACAUUUCGGGACACCGGCGAUUACACCGGAUAAUAUCCUGCACCAUAUGGUUCAUUGGAAAGAUACGGUUUUUGUGGCAGUUCUCGCUGGAUACGCGCCGCAUUAGCUGGUUGGUACGGUAACGGGUUACUAAGGGUACGAUGCGUAGCCGACCUGUGAGGGUGAUCGGCCACACGGGAACUGAGACACGGUCCAGACUCCUACGGGAGGCAGCAGUAGGGAAUCUGCCGCAGUGGGCGAGAGCCUUACGGAGCAGCGCCGCGUGAGUUAUGAAGAUCUUCGGAUCGUAAAACUCUGUUAUUAGGGAAGAACAAAUGUGGAAGUAACUAUGCACGGCUUGACGGUACCUAAUCAGAAAGCCACGGCUAACUACGUG